rnacentral:rRNA from 1 species
AGUGAACGCUGGCGAUAGGCCUAACACAUGCAAGUCGAACGGCAGCACAGUAAGAGCUUGCUCUUACGGGUGGCGAGUGGCGGACGGGUGAGGAAUACAUCGGAAUCUACUUUUUCGUGGGGGAUAACGUAGGGAAACUUACGCUAAUACCGCAUACGACCUACGGGUGAAAGCAGGGGAUCUUCGGACCUUGCGCGAUUGAAUGAGCCGAUGUCGGAUUAGCUAGUUGGCGGGGUAAAGGCCCACCAAGGCGACAAUCCGUAGCUGGUCUGAGAGGAUGAUCAGCCACACUGGAACUGAGACACGGUCCAGACUCCUACGGGAGGCAGCAGUGGGGAAUAUUGGACAAUGGGCGCAAGCCUGAUCCAGCCAUACCGCGUGGGUGAAGAAGGCCUUCGGGUUGUAAAGCCCUUUUGUUGGGAAAGAAAAGCAGCAGGUUAAUACCCCGCUGUUCUGACGGUACCCAAAGAAUAAGCACCGGCUAACUUCGUG